UGAAUGCGAACAGUAAAUAAGAGAGAAAAGAAUAGUUACAAAUUAAUUGAAUAUGAAAGAAUAGAGUAGAAUUAUAUUAUUUAUUUAGAAAUAAUUUGGAUAUUUUUAUAAAAAUUUUAAGUAGAAAAAUUGAUUUUGCUGGAAUCAAUUUUAGAGAACAGUUUUUUUCUACUUUUGAUGCUUGAAAAAUCAGUUUUUUAAUUUUGAAAAGAAAAAAUUCAACUUUUUUUGCAAAAUGCUUUACUGAGCCCAAAAUCACUUUUGGACUCAGAAUCACUUUUAAGAAGUUGGGCCAGACACCCCCUUAUUUGCAUCAACAAUCAUU
rnacentral:lncRNA from 1 species